GUUUCCCUACGGGAGGCAGCAGUGAGGAAUAUUGGUCAAUGGCCGCGGGGCUGAACCAGCCAAGUCGCGUGAGGGAUGACGGUCCUAUGGAUUGUAAACCUCUUUUGUCAGGGAGCAAAGGGCGCCACGUGUGGCGUUUUGCGAGUACCUGAAGAAAAAGCAUCGGCUAACUCCGUGCCAGCAGCCGCGGUAAUACGGAGGAUGCGAGCGUUAUCCGGAUUUAUUGGGUUUAAAGGGUGCGCAGGCGGGCUGUUAAGCCGGCGGUAAAAAUUCAGGGCUCAACCCUGUCGAGCCGUCGGAACUGG
rnacentral:rRNA from 1 species